GAAUUUUGGACAAUGGGCGAAAGCCUGAUCCAGCAAUGCCGCGUGCAGGAUGAAGGCCUUCGGGUUGUAAACUGCUUUUGUACGGAACGAAAAGCUUUGGGUUAAUACCCUGGAGUCAUGACGGUACCGUAAGAAUAAGCACCGGCUAACGCAGUGGCGACAGCCGCGGUACUACGUAGGGUGCACGCGUUCGUCGGAGUUACUGGGCGUAAAGCGUGCGCAGGCGGUUUUGUAAGACAGAGGUGAAAUCCCCGGGCUCACCCUGGGAACUGCCUUUGUGACUGCAAGGCUAGAGUACGGCAGAGGGGGGUGGAAUUCCGCGUGUAGCAGUGAAAUGCGUAGAUAUGCGGAGGAACACCGAUGGCGAAGGCAACCCCCUGGGCCUGUACUGACGCUCAUGCACGAAAGCGUGGGGAGCAAA
rnacentral:rRNA from 1 species